rnacentral:rRNA from 1 species
UACGUAGGGUGCAAGCGUUGUCCGGAAUUAUUGGGCGUAAAGAGCUCGUAGGCGGUCUGUCGCGUCUGCUGUGAAAACUCAGGGCUUAACCCUGAGCUUGCAGUGGGUACGGGCAGACUAGAGUGCGGUAGGGGAGACUGGAAUUCCUGGUGUAGCGGUGAAAUGCGCAGAUAUCAGGAGGAACACCGGUGGCGAAGGCGGUGGUCUGGGCCGGCACUGACGC